AUGAAGUGCUGUGUUUAUGGCUCAUCAGAGAGGAGAGAUCUUGGAAAGGACAUUUCAAGCAGUCAAAUGAGAACCAAAAAGAUCACACAGAAAGAAAAGUCUUUCCUCAGCCAGAGAUGUACUUUUGUAAAGCAAAUCUCCUUGAACAUGGUCUGGAAUCUUCUGCACUGGGAAGGUCGCAGGAACAAGUUUCAAGACUGUUUCGAUGUUUGAGCCAUAAUGCAGUUAAGGCAUCAAUCCAACGAAAGCACCAACGAUCUGAGAAAUCCUGACAUAUCAAGAUAUAAAUAAUUCAGGUACUACUAUAGCACGAUGCUUGUCUGCUGGA